GAUGAAGAACGCAGCGAAAUGCGAUAAGUAGUGUGAAUUGCAGAAUUCAGUGAAUCAUCGAAUCUUUGAACGCACAUUGCGCCCCUUGGUAUUCCAUGGGGCAUGCCUGUUCGAGCGUCAUUUUGUACCCUCAAGCUUUGCUUGGUGAUGGGUGUUUGUUCCGCUGCAACGCGUGAACUCGCCUCAAAUCAAUUGGCAGCCGGCAAUCUGGUGUUUGAGCGCAGCACAUUUUGCGCUCUUCGCUGUGUAUUGCGGGCGUCCAUGAAGCCUAUAUUUCCACGCUUGACCUCGGAUCAGGUAGGGAUACCCGCUGAACUUAAGCAUAUCAAUAAGCGGAGGA
rnacentral:misc_RNA from 1 species